rnacentral:lncRNA from 1 species
GUCACAAAAAAUUGGCUAAUCCAGGGGCUAUGCAGUAUAAAAACUUCUCUGCUUGUGUGGCUGUGAAGGAAAAGGUGACUUUGAGGAUGAAUGAGUCGAGUUCCAUAGAGACGAAUUGUCUGGAGGGCAACAGGUUAACACACUCAAUCUGUGGUGAAGUGGAGCUUCCCUGGAGACAGUCCAAGAAGCAAGGACUCACAAAUAAGGAAGGCUUUAAUCUGUGUGUUCAAAUCCAGGAAAGACAUACAACCUGUGACAUGAUGAUAUGCUGGUCUCCUCCAUCAGUUUUCUAG